ensembl:lncRNA
UAUGAGUUAACUGUGGCAGGGUAAUUUAUAUAAUUAGAAUAGCAAGACAGGGAAUAGGUGAGCUGUACAAUGGCAUUUUGAAAAAAAGAAAAAGAUGCAAUGUCUGGCUUGUGCUAAAGGGCACAAAUGAACAUGGUGCUCUGUUCAGGAAAAGGCAGAGGACGUUCCUCUUGUAGGUUCUAGGACACCCAGCUUGUGAAGUAGCCAACUUUGAGUUGGUACUUGGCUGUCAUGCACCCAGGAUGCACUGGGCACAAGGUGCCACCACGCUGCUUUCGGAGGUGUCACCAAUGAAGUGAAGUAGAGUGAGGCCCCAGUUCACACCGUGGACUGUUGAACGGUCAAAGUGUACGUGUGUUCUUAGGACUUGAAGAAUGAAAUAGCAGAACUGUGCCUGUACUUAAUUUCUUCAUAUAGGCUUCCCAGCCCACCAGGACCUCUGUCCAUGAAAUUCCCCAAGCAAGAAAACUGGAGUGGGUUGCCAUUUCCUCCACCGUCUUCUUCCUGGGGAAUCUUUCCAACCCAGGGAUUAAACCCGAGUCUUCUGGAGUUUCCUUCAUUGCAGGCAGAUUCUUCACCUCUGAGCCCAUCAAGGAAACCCAAUCCUAAGGUGAGAGUGGGAGUUAAAUACCAUUUUGUUAGCUAUAACCAUAACAGAAUGAAUUUGUCAUUUUGCAGAAACUAAGAAUACAAGUUAUUAUAAUGCAAGUGGCUAUAUACCUUCUUGCUUUCUUUGGCUAUUGACCCUUGGCUAUAUAUCAGGCAUCGUUAGGGUGCUAUCUUGACCAAGAGAGACAGCUGAGUGUGGGUGGACUAAUACAGAAAGCUGACAGGUGUGUCAGGAGCGUUGCUUGAGUAUUAAGAGUAGAACUCUGCCCCCUUUACUGAACAUUCACUGAACUAGUAUCUUCCAAGAAUCUCUUUAAGCCACUAAUUUCUUCCAAAUAGACACUGGGAUGGAAAUAAAGCUCAUUUAUCAGUAAACAUGUUAUCAUCCAUAUUCAGAAAUAUAUUUAUAUAUGUGUGUCUUUCUGUCUGCAAAGGUCUUUCUGUUUAUAAAAAG